GUGACAGCCGCCGCGGUAAUACGUAGGUGGCAAGCGUUGUCCGGAAUUAUUGGGCGUAAAGCGCGCGCAGGUGGUUUCUUAAGUCUGAUGUGAAAGCCCACGGCUCAACCGUGGAGGGUCAUUGGAAACUGGGGAACUUGAGUGCAGAAGAGGAAAGUGGAAUUCCAAGUGUAGCGGUGAAAUGCGUAGAGAUUUGGAGGAACACCAGUGGCGAAGGNGACUNCUGGUCUGUAACUGACACUGAGGCGCGAANGCGUGGGGAGCAAACAG
rnacentral:rRNA from 1 species